rnacentral:misc_RNA from 1 species
AUGUAAACAAAGGCCGAGCGGUUGUUGCUGGUCCUCCGGGACAUGUGCACACCUUCGGUCGACAUCCUUCACACCCCUGUGCACCUCUGCGUGUGGCUCCCCCUCGCUUCGGCUUGUGGGGGCCCGCGUCUCUUAUAAACACCCUUGUAUGUCUUACGAAUGUCUACUAUGCGAUAAAAAGCAUCUAAUA